rnacentral:rRNA from 1 species
CCUACGGGAGGCAGCAGUGAGGAAUAUUGGUCAAUGGACGAGAGUCUGAACCAGCCAAGUAGCGUGAAGGAUGACUACCCUAUGGGUUGUAAACUUCUUUUAUAUGGGAAUAAAAUGUUCCACGUGUGGGAUUUUGUAUGUACCAUAUGAAUAAGGAUCGGCUAACUCCGUGCCAGCAGCCGCGGUAAUACGGAGGAUCCGAGCGUUAUCCGGAUUUAUUGGGUUUAAAGGGAGCGUAGGUGGAUUGGUAAGUCAGUUGUGAAAGUUUGCGGCUCAACCGUAAAAUUGCAGUUGAAACUGGCAGUCUUGAGUACAGUAGAGGUGGGCGGAAUUCGUGGUGUAGCGGUGAAAUGCUUAGAUAUCACGAAGAACUCCGAUUGCGAAGGCAGUUCACUGGACUGCAACUGACACUGAGGCUCGAAAGUGUGGGUAUCAAACAGGAUUAGAUACCCCUGUAGUC